rnacentral:rRNA from 1 species
CACCUGCCGAAUGAACUAGCCCCGAAAAUUGAUGGCGCUUAAGCGUGCGACCGAUACUCGACCAUUGUAGCGAGAGUGAUGCUGCAAUGAGUAGGAGGGCGUGAGCGUUGUUGUGAAGCCUCUGACGUGAGUCUGGGUUGAACAGCGUUUAGUGCAGAUCUUGGUGGUAGUAGCAAUUAUUCAAAUGAGAACUUUGAAGGCCGAAGUGGAGAAGGUUUCCGUGAGAACAGCAAUUGGUCACGGGUGACUCGAUCCUAAGUCACAGGGGAAACCCAUAGGACGGUCUUUUGACCAUUAGCGCGAAAGGGAAUGAGGUUAAUAUUCCUCAAGCUGGAUGUGGAUCUGUAUGGUAACAUAAGCGAGCUCAGAGACGCCAGCGUGAGCCUCUGGAAGAGUUAUCUUUUCUUUUUAACAGGCUAACGACCUUGAAAUCGGAUUAUCCGGAGAUAAGGUUGUAUGCCUGGAAGAGCACCUCGCUUCUUGGGGUGUCAGGUGCGCUCAUGAUGGUCCGUGAAAAUCUGAGUGAGAGUC